GAUGAACGCUGGCGGCGUGCCUAAUACAUGCAAGUCGAGCGAACAGACGAGGAGCUUGCUCCUCUGACGUUAGCGGCGGACGGGUGAGUAACACGUGGAUAACCUACCUAUAAGACUGGGAUAACUUCGGGAAACCGGAGCUAAUACCGGAUAAUAUAUUGAACCGCAUGGUUCAAUAGUGAAAGACGGUUUUGCUGUCACUUAUAGAUGGAUCCGCGCCGCAUUAGCUAGUUGGUAAGGUAACGGCUUACCAAGGCAACGAUGCGUAGCCGACCUGAGAGGAUGGUCGGCCACACAGGGACUAAGACACGGUCCAGUCUCCUACGGAGGGCAGCAGUAGGGAAACUUCCGCAAUAGGCGACAGCCUAACGGAGCAACGCCGCGUGAGUGAUGAAGGUCUUCGGAUCGUAAAACUCUGUUAUUAGGGAAGAACAAAUGUGUAAGUAACUAUGCGCAUCUUGACGGUACCUAAUCAGAAAGCCACGGCUAACUACGUG
rnacentral:rRNA from 1 species